GGCGACGGUGGCCGCGGGGUGGCCGAGGCUCACCCCCGCGCAACGGAACUGUUGGUGCGCUCCGACGGCGCGGAAGCCUCCGCCGAGCGCCGCCUUCUGACAGGUACUGAUGGGCUCCUGUGAGGUGGGUGGUGCCUGGGGCCGUGGCCGCGGCUACAAGCUGGAGGAGGUCAGGGAGCGUUUGGCAACUGCUCUCCUUAUGGGUUCCUUCUAACUCGGAAUAUUCUGUGGUUCUAAGUGUGUGUGAACUUUUAAAAACAAAAAGCAGAUGAGGUUAUUUCUGUUGUUGAUACUACAUAAUGAAUCCAUCCUGAUUGGAAACCCAUUCCCAACUCCCCUUCCACAGGCAGGGCUACCACCCAGCAGCUCAGCUGCCCAGGCCCCCAUCCAGCCUGGCCAUGAGUGCCUCCAGGGAUGGGGCACCACAGCUUCUUUGGGCAGCUGUGCCAACGCCUCACAGCCCUCUGAGUGAAGAAUUUUCUCCUUAUAUCUAAUCUAAAUCGCCUCUAUUUUAGUUAAAAGCUAUUCCCCCUUGUUUUAUCACUGUCAGACCAUGUAAAAAGUUGGUCCCCCUCCAGCUUAUGAGCUCCCUCCCCUCAAGUACUGGCAGGCCACAAUGAGGUCUCCCCAGAGCAUUCAGUUCUUCAGACUGAUCAACUCCAACUACCUCAGCCUGUCUUCAUAGGAGAGGUGCUCCAGCCCUCCAGUCAUCUUCGUGGCUCUCCUCUGGGCACUUUUCAACAGCUGGUCCUGGAAAUGCUAUCCAGAAGCUACUGAAGAUUGCAUUAAAAAUAUUUUGGUUUUGAUAGGUACUGGAACAUGUCAAAGGCCAACUUUCUGCAAAUAUUUAUGGCUUGUCCAUGUUUGGAAGCUCCCCAAAGAGACAGUCCAAAAUAAUGAUUCCAGAGAUAAAGUGGGACCUCUACCUGGCAUGUGGAAACAACAGCUCAUUUCCCCCAUCCCACUUAAUCCUGUGCUUCAAACCAGCACACACACUACAUCUGGUAGAUUGACAUGGAACAAAGAAGUCCCAGUCGCAACCACAACUGAUUUGACAUAAAAAGCUAUUUUUAAAUAUUGAACAUCCCGGUGCCUUUUUAGCGGAGGUUCAGUUUCACUUCCCAUGUUUUCCUAUGGAGUAGAACCUUUGAUUCAGACCCUGGCUCAUUUUGCUCUACAAAGGAGAGAGAAACAACCCCAACUUCAAGGAACACGGUAGCUCAGGGUGUUUGUAUCUUAGAUCUGUUUGCUAAAAAUAGCACUGCCAUGGGGAUUCAAAUAACAUCAUUUACAAGGCAGAAGGUGCAUCAGAAGAGAUGUAAUAUAUCACCUUUAAUUACUUCUGUAAUUCCCAAGCCUGGCAAUUUGGGCACAAAAUUUUGCUUUUAAAGUCAGCCUACUAAUAUGUAGGAUUAACAGUUGACAGAAUUACAGAGAGGCUGAUAAGUCAUAAUCACAAUUCCAAAUUCUAGCCAUCUAGAUUUAGCUGAAAAUACUGCUGCUUUUGCAGAGGAGAAACAGAAGUGAGGUUAUGUGGGAAAGAAGUGAGAUUGUGUAUUGUGAUAAGGUGGGACGGGGAUGAAGGAAUGGAAAAAAGACAAUGAAAAAGUAAGAAAGGGUGUUUUAAAGAAAGCAGAACAAAAAGAAAAUCAUGGUGACAAAAAUAUGUCUGCUCUCAACUGUAAAAACAAACAAACCAAGCAUUACUGAAAAAACCAGGACUUGGAAGUGCAUAGGCCCUACUCUUCUGCUGCUGCUUUUCUGCUGCAGGUUUGAUUUUUCACUCCCUUCCACCCUACUAUGCCAGGUGUGGAAAAUGAUACACUUUAGCAUACUUGACAGAAAUCAUUAGAAGGUGAUUUUGGAAGCAAGUCCCCAUCAGGCAGCUGGGCCAGUAGCUGUGGAUUUGCUCCCUGCCAAAGUUGGGGCCAAGGCCACUGCCUCAGCACCUGCAGGUCUUGCACACACACGGGUACAUGGCUAGUGAUGCAAAAUCACAUCCUCACAUUGAAGAGUCUGUAGGUUUGGAGAUGGGACAAGAAAGGACAACAUAUGUCCUAUGUGUAUUUGGGUAAGAAACUGAUACAGCUCAUUAAAACGUAAAAGUGAGAUAGAGGAAGGGGUAAAGCUUGUUGUUAGUUGUUAGUUUAUUUGGGGGGGGGGGGGGGGGGGGGCUGUCUGGUUGGGGUUUGUUUUGUUUUUCCUUUGUUUUGUUUUGUUUUGUUUUGUUUUUUUACUUCAAGACAAAGAAGAACUACAAACCUCAGCCAGUCAGGAGCAACCACCAUCAACAAGCCUACUGCCCACUGUGGGAGAAGUAACAGUUCUAUUGAUGCAUCUCAGUGGGGAUGAAUUUCAGAAACAGCACUGCAGCCUCACUUUCUCUUUAGAGAGGUAUCAACACACAUAUACAAGAUCCUGGAUUUGUGCAAGUCACACAGGGACAAAAAUUAAGUUUGACACACUGUGUCUAGUACUGACAGACAGCAGAAGAAAUGAUUUCCUUGAGCUACGUGCUGUAGCUUUUACUAUAGUCGGUUUUGAUUGUGGUUUAAGAACAGAUACUGUAUUUCUAGCAUAUACGUUGUUGCUACUCCAGUCCACAGGGAAGCUGAAAAUUUUCAUGCUUUUUGUGUGAGCUUUGUUAAAAGAUUUGAGAUGCUGAACAAACAAAUUUUUGCUAUUCAGUUAAACUUUAAUAUCCUGAGUAAGACAGCAAUGUGCUUAAUACAGAGGAACUUGCAAAGGUUUCUUAACAGAAAUCUUUCUCUGAAAAGGGAAUAGCAUGUCACUAUUGUUUUAUUGAAUCAGAUUUUCUAGUUCUCCUUUUCUGCGUAUUUAAGUAAGUACUGUUGGAGGCAUGAGGAGAAGACGAAAAUGAUUCAAACAGUAGAUUCUCACUUAAUAAUCAACUAUUUCCUGGAUCACAAGGGGUAUUUUUCCUAGGUAUUUAGUUAUGUAAAUAAAGCUCUGUGUAGUGCAAAAUCCUACAGUAAAAAUAAAUGCCUCAGAACAAUACCAGCAGUUUUCUAUUGUUCACCAGAUAUUACUCCUGGGGAUAAAAUCAAUUUGAGAUUUCCUGUGUUUUGUAUGAUAAGAAUCUCCUGUCUGUCCACAAACAGAUUACUUUUCACAACAUUACGAAUCAAUUAAUCAGUAAAAUGGACCAAACCAUGCAGACAGAUUAAACAAACUUUUCCUCAUCAUUUAAAAAAAUAAAUAAAAAUCUAUAUUUAAAGCAAUGGUGAAAUUUUUGACUGCAAAAUGUAUCUUAAUACACUGCAAGCAAUUGAACAGCCAUAGAAAGAUCAUCUCAAGAUUACUAGUCCUAUUUAAUAGUCCUAACAGUCAGGCAGAUGCAAUUCAUCUAUCACACCUCAGGCCAACUGAGGAGAAAGAAAUACAAAUUAAAACAAUCAAACAAAAAACAAAACAACAAAAGACAGCCUCUUAUUGUAUGCAAAAAGAUGGGACAAAUAGUAUUUUUCAAGUCACCAUUUUGUUAUUUGAGUUCGCACCAUUCCUUGAAAGCACUCUGUUUAGACUCCUUGUGAGUGUAAAUCAUUACUUUUGAGGAAAAAAUAAUGAGAAAAGAGAAAGAGGAACAUGGAAGUUUUUCAGAUUAAGGGCACGAUCCUGUUUCUGUUGGACAAAGUUCUUCUAAGUUCCAUGUUGCCUGCAUUUUGUGUGUCUGGAGAGUUUAAGGAAAGCCUGAAACAGUCCAAAUAGCAUGUAAAACCUUUGAGCUAUACCCUGUUUAAUAAUUCUUUCAACCCUAGUUGUAGCUGAAUCAAAUCAACAAUAACAGUAACUACAGGGCAUUCCUAUUUAUCUUAGGAGCCACCAUGUGCAUAUCUACUUAAGGAGCAGAUUCACAAAGGAAUUCAAGCCAACUUAAGCCUCAUUACUGAUUUAAGAAAGCAAAACAAAACUGCUGUCUUCUUUUUACCUCCAUGAAUCUGGCUCUGCUUCUCAAGUGGAUGUACAGUGUAACAUUGGCUGGAGAAAAGAACUGAGGCAUCUGAGAAUUAACCCUGUUAUUAAAAAGCAUUCCAGCUUACUGCUUGAACAGAGUUGCACCAAUAGAAGAAAGCAGUGGCUCAGGGCAGGAGCUUGGACCAGGCUUUGCAAAGGAAACCUAGGCUGUGAGUGACCUCAGCCAUCUGCAGAAACACCAGGAAGCUGAUGAAACCUUACUUGGCAUGAAAUGGGCAUGCAGGGACAACACAGAGGAUAUAACUUUGUCACUGUUUUGGUUUGGAUGAGAAGCAUGCAUGCUUUGGGUUCAUGUGAAGGAAUGAUUUUAGAUGUAACUGAACUAUAAAGUGCUUGCUAUGGGUGCAGUCAUUGUGUUCACUCAGUCCACAAGCCAAAAAGCAUCAGCUGAUCCAGUCUACAAAAUUCACUCCCAGGCUGCACUAAUUGCAGAUAUAGACAUAACUAUGCCUUCCAUCCUGGGGUUAACUUCAGUCAUUUACUGCUGCCUGCACUGAAAGCACUGCUGCUGUUUGCUCAGCCAAAAAUCUGACGACAGAGGGGCAGAGUAUGUGUAACUCUGUUUAUUAAUAUUUAUCUUUUCCCCACAAAUCUUCCUGCUGAAUGAAGGAAAUAUUACUUAUAUUCUGCUAUACUAUUGGAGUUCUGGAGAUGCACUCUCAUCUGAAGCAUAAAGGAAUUAAUUCUGAUUUGGAUUAUUUUGUCUCUGGUAUUCGUAGGGAUGUAGUUCUCAGCUUUGGAAGAGAUGGAAGGCAGGGAGAAAGUCAAUAUCCUCUUUCAGCAGCUUCCAGAUAGCACAGUGCCUACAAGAGAGUCAUCUACACUGUUAGGAACUAGAACUGAACAGAUAAUUAUUGUUUUUCUGUUUGGGAAAGAAAGGAAACAGAGGAAGGAAAAGUAUGUUAGAUGGAGUCUGAUAGUGCUGGCUCCUAAACUGGAAAACCAUGACCACAGGAUAUAAUCUCUUUCUUCCAUUUCUUGUUUUUUUGUACUAGAUAUGACAAGGUGAAGUCUGAAAGAAAACCAAGUGAUUUGUUACGAAUCAUUUAUUCUUCAAGUUGAUCAAGAAAGCAGUGAUUGUUACUGAUCAGGCAAUACUAUGUAAAUAAAACAAUAGGAGGCAACAUAGGAAGCUAAAUUGGCAUGGAUUGCCAGUUUACAAAGAAACACCAAGGGAAAGAACAACAACAUGAAAAAAAAAACAAUGCACAAAGCUGUACCUGGGCAGUACUGCCAGGAAAAAGACAUUGGAUCCAAAUCUGCAAUUAGAUGAACAGGGCAUGGUAAUGGUUUCAGGGUAGAAAGAUUAAAAUUGAUAGGAAGUCCUUGUGGCUGAGGUGGGAGGCUUGGUGGUUCUAUAUGGAAGCCCCAGAUACAGCCUGCAUCAGACAAAAGGAACUGAGAAAAAGUACUAAGGAAGGUUUAUAAAUUUAUUUGGAUUUCAGUAGAUUAUUUUUCUAUAUGCUGACAACCAAAAAUAAAUUUCAGGUACUGCUUUUUUUCAUUGCUACUCCUUCAUGAAAGAAGCAUGGAAGUUAAGUAAUUUCAUGAGUUAACAAAAAGAUUUUAUCCUUUCUCUUAAGAUGCUAACAAUUAAAAUAUAUGUAGCAGGAUUUUCCCUAGGGUAACUCUACAGUUCUUCAAGGUACAAGGGCAUAUUAGAGAUUACACAGUUAUUAUAAAACCAGUGUAAUGGCAACACAUGCUGUCACCUGGCAGUAUGUGUCUAAUUGAUCUUACUCAAUUACUUAAUUUUAUGACUCGCUUUAGUAAAGGUUAAGACAUUGAUGUUUUAGAAGGCUGUGCUGAAUAAUACCAUUGUUGGAGAUUACUUUCUCAUGUAAUUGCUUCAUUAAAAGCAGGUAAAUAGAGGAAGAGUCAUCCUGUCAGGAAGCACACUGAAACGGAAUAUCCUAUGUCAAAGCAACAGCAUUACUGUCUUACAUACGUAUGUUUUCUAGUGUCUCCCUUUUUGGAGUGGGAAAUACUUGCCUCUUUUUGACUUGCAUAAAUGACAGUAAACUCAAGUGAGAAACUCCUCUACAAUUUUAGCAUUUUUAAGCAUGACAGGGAACAAGAAGGAAAGGCAGCUCAGUGGGCUCUUUGUAGGCCUGUCAACAAAUAUUUGUACUUCAACAAGUAUUUUCAACUGCAAAGCCACAGUUUAUGUGUAGGUGGGAAAGGGUGCUGUGGUUCAGAAGCAAUACUCACUGCAUGCAUGUUCAAGAUAUGCAAAGGAAAAUUUAUUCCAGAGCCUUUGCUAUGGAGCAGUGUCUCUGUAUCCAGUCCUCUUCUGUUAUCCCAGUUUCCCUAAUGCAAUUUUAGUCAGACAAUCUGUGGUCAUAGGCUGAGUGAAGUAUUUAGUCCUUCACUGAAGGGACUUGUGAAGCCACAUUUAGGGAUCAGGAGGGAAAAAUGUGUCAUGUUUUUUCAUACAGCCCUGUGUUGUUACGAUGUUUCCAGUUCUUCUCUGUCAAGGUGAUGCUCAUAUACCUUCACAGGAAACUGCAUGCUGUAAAUAUCGUGGCUUUGAUAACCAUUGUUGAUGUUAUCCUAGCAGGCAAAUAUCAGUACCUUCAAGCUGUUGCCUGCUAGAACCUUCUCAUCCUUUCUUUCUGUCUUUCCCUGGACCUGCCCAGCAGCCAGCUGGAAGACACCCUUCCAGCUCCCAACACUGGGUGUGUCUGGUCUCCCAGCAGAGGAUGCUGAAGGAGUGUCAAUGGGAGCAGAUACAGUUCACCUCACAGGAGAUGGGACCAUUUCUGGGGGAGAUACAGGAGGAGAUUCAAUAGAGCUGUCUCAGUAGAGCAGUGGAGGCUCUAGAAAGGGCGGCACUGCUUCACCACCAUGUUUUUUCUCUACUCUUUUUUGUAGGCCUUUUUCUGGGGAUGCAGAAUGCCCAUGCCCUGGAUUCUUUGGUGGAGUUUUACUGUACGCAUCCUUCCCAUAUACAGCAGGAGCAGACCUAUGCAAGCUCACUCUCCAAUAAACAACAUUUAAACCAAAUGGUUUAGUUCGAUCUCUUGACUCAUUUGUCUUUCACUUAGAGCAGUGAAUCUAAUGCAACAAAUAUCAUAAUUUCCCUCCCUUUGUUUUUUUGUUUGUUUGUUUGUUUGUUUGUUUUGUCUGCUAUCCCCAUUGGAACACAUCUGCUUUCAUUGGUAGUAGUGCUACCAUGGAAGCACAUGCUGCUUCUCCACUCUGCUCCUUCAUUGAGUUCGGCCACUUCUUACUCUUCUAGAACUAAAGUAUAUGAGCUUGCAUUUGGCUACUUCAGAAGGCAUGUUAGUUGAACGAGCCCAGUUUAUCCUGGAAACUGGAUCACACUCUGUAGUGUCCAUUGUCAUCACCAUUUAUUACUUCAUCUGCGCUUUUGGCUCUGCAAAAAGAGACAAAAAAAAAACCCCAAACAAACAAACAAACAAAAAAAACCCAAAACAUUAUUUGAUUUUUUAAAUAUGUUUCCAGAUUAUUCAUAAAAUUAUUACCGGCUCUUGGGUUUUUAAGGUUUUGAUGCUAUUUUGUAAGAUCUGUAAUAUAACAUAUCUUUUUUUCCCAUGUGCCUUAUUAAUGUUAUGCAAUACUAAAUCAUUUUAGUUUGAAGGCCACAAAGUAUCAAGUUAAAUACUGUUCCUAAGUGUAUUACCUCAGCACUGUUGCAAACAUCAAUAUAUUUUUAAGUUCAGCAGAGAACAACCUGAGUUCAGCUGACGAGGCCUUUUUGCAAAACUCUUAGAGUGUUAAUCUGCUUUCAUUGACUGAACUUCAUCUUUUACAUUUUAUAAAUUAUGAGGUCAACCACGUUGUUUGAGUUCAGCUUUGGAGGAUUUCCAUUGUACGCUCAGCAAGGCAGAAAACUCCUCAGCUAGAUCUUCUACAACUACUGACUGAAAGAUAUCUGUGCUCUCCUUUUACCAUAUUUGUUUCUAAUAAAUGUGUUUUAGUAUUUAACUUGUAGACUGGCAAACUGUACAAUAUUCUGAUCAGAUAUAAAUACUUCAUCUUCUCCUUAUCAAAUACCACUAAGCAGCUAACCACUGAACACAUUUUGCAUCAUUAGCUCUCUUAUGUCAGUCUAGUACCAAGCAUUUACUGACAUUCUAACUUAUUUUCACAGAACCACAGGAGUUGCUACCACCUCUCUGGGCAGCCUUUUCCAGAGCUUCGUCACUCCAACAGUAAAGAAGUUUAUUGUGUUUAUACUUCAGGUUUCCUUCUAUUGUCUCUAGGUUUUCUAGACUUGAAUUUUCUUUGGCUUCAUUUGGGUGUUUUUUUAUUGUUGUGUUUAUGAUUGCUGCCUACUUUUAAUUAUUGACAUUCCUUCCUUUUCCAGAAAGCGCUUUUAAUAAAAGUGUUUUUUAAUAUCAAAAUAUUGUGGAACACAAUAAAUCUUCUGAUAUACAUCCUGAUUUUUGUUAAUACCAUGAUGUUUCUUGACUUUUUUUUUUCUUAAGAGAAAACAAAUCAGGCAGAUGUAGACAAUUUAUCCACAUGAGUGUAUCUCAGUGUAUGGUAACUGUUGAGUCACAACCUGAACCACUGAUUGAGCAGCUGGGGAAAGGACCAGGUCAGCCCUGGGAGCAAGAGGUGAAGGUGAUUCUCCUGUGUGACCAGAAGGCGUGGAGCCUGGCUGCACCUCUCUUAGACCCCAUUUAAGGGCUGACUGCCACUGGGGAAGGAUCUCUUUCUGGAGAUCCCUUUUUGGUGGAGUUUUGCUCUGUGAACCUGGAAUCUUCAGAUGCAAAGCUCCACAGGGCUAUGUGAAGAAGGCUUCCAAAGGAGAGAUCACGUCUAGAACCCUCCUGUAGAUGGAUCACAGGCUGUUGGGCAUGUUGAAAAUGCUGUUGCGUUGGCAGACAAGCUUUGGCAAGCUGCUUCAUAGAGGCUGAAAGGAGGUUUUGCUUCCAGCUCCACUCCUCUGCUGGAAUUACUGUCUGCACAGUAAUGGGGGAAUGCAGACCUUUGACUUAGCAGCUCUGGUGCAAAGGGUAAAACAUUCACCUUUGCUAAAGGUUAAAACUGAAAUGCUUUUCUGGAAGCAUAGGUGAAUUUGCACUAAAACAUCAAACUGAGUAGAAGAAAGAGAAGCACUUGAUUCCUCCUGCUGCUCUGGUGGUUGGGAAGAUGGGAUGGAAAAGGAGCCUACUAGAUCCAUGGAUCAGGCAUGUAACAACCUUACAGUGACUGAAGUUCUGAAGUUCAAAGGGCUUUAGUUUUGUUUGUUUUCUAAUAUUUUGUCUAAACAUUAGGAUCAAAUGUGACAUAAUUAUUAAAAUGCUUCUGAUUUACUGAAUUUAAAGUCUCUACUCUUCUUGCUUUUUCAAUUUUUAAUAAUGCAUUAUCCAGUUUGCUUGUUAAGAGGACAUAUCUACUGCUCAGUUAUUGCUCUUCUGAUGCACAGAAACUUUUACGUACGCACAUUUUACAACUUUGGUAACCUGAAAACCAGGUCUCCACCAUAAGUAAGACCAUACUCUGUACUGAAAACUAGGUUGGAAUUCUCUGCAAGAUUGUGUUAAUGCUUAGUGAGGGCUCCUCAGAAUUGGUAGUUUGGUCGUACAUGCUCUAAGUGUACCAUAGCAAUGAAUUAAUACCUUCAUCAAAUGUCUGUAUUUGUACUGUUCAGUAGUUUCUUCCACUCUCCCCUAAGGUCACGGUUGUGUUGUUAAUGCUUUUCUGGAUCAAUAUCCUGAUAUGCUGGCACAGCAUACAUUGGCAAGGCUGACCUUUUGCUAGCACAGCAUAUGUCACAUCUUGGUGCAUGUCAAACACUCAUAGUACGUUUUGGCUAUAUAAAAGAAGUUUAUCACAUCUGGCCAAAGCAGUCUAAACACUUUUUAAAACUACUUGUACUACUAAAGACCUAUCAGUUAUAUCCACUGCUACUAACAAUUCUGUAUCUCUUAUUACCUUAGAUAUUCCUGUCAUUUUUGCCAGUGCAGUGAAGAUGAGGAUGACUUAUUGGAUCGUUGUCUCACUUACUUCAGAUUAGAAAGGAUAUGGUAAUGUGCAUAAGUUCAGUAUUCACAGAUUAAACAAAUUCUAGUAAGUGUUAUUGAUAGGAGAUAACAAGUAUGAAAUUUAUUAAUUGCUUAAAUUGACUUUUACACUGCAAGAAAAACAUCUUUUCCCUCUCCCCUGCUGUCACUGACAAGUGUGGAUGCAUGUGAUGUUUAAAAUGUUUAAUUAUGGCCAAGACAAUGAGCAUUAUUAGGUUCAGUGACCUGUAUACCUGUGUAUCUCCUGCUGUAGGGAACCUGUUUUAGUAGGGAGGUUGGGACUCUGUGAUCUCUAAAGAUCCCCUCCAACCCCUGCAAUUCUGUCUGCUUUUAAGUCACGUAUGCACUAUUUCUCUAUACUGACCUAACUCAGAUUCAUGUGCAGCCUUUGCUGCAUAUUCUAAUUUGGGGUUUUGUGUUAUGUACAAGUGGAAGAGUGGCAUGGUUACGAUGGUACUUUACAGGUGUUAUAGUUGGAAAGAUUACUGUGGUGAAAAAGAGAUGAUCAAAGAAGAAAUGCUCACCUGUAUCUGAGGAUCUAGGUUCACAGUGGAAAAACUCCAAAAAAGAGGGAUCUCCAGAAAGAGAUCCUUCCCCAGUGGUAGUCAGCCUUAAAUGGGGUCUAGCCUGGCUCCACCCCCUUCAGUCACACAGGUGAAUUGCCUUCACCUGAGCUCCCAUGGCUGACCCAGUCCUUGUCUCGGGUGAUCAAUCAGUGGUUCAGGCCAUGACUCAAUAGUUCCCAUACCUGUUAUAAUUUGAGAACUGCUUAUACAUGCAGCCUCAUACAGGAGUGUUUCGUAGAUUUGUUGGGUUUCUUUUUUUUUGAGUGUAUGUGUAUGUUUUCCUAGUUGUUGUUUUGUUUGUUUUCUUUCAUACGUUAAGAUAACUUUACAUAGGUGGCUUAAUUCUGAAUGUCUAUAAAGGCUGAAAGGUCCUACUUUGAUCCUCUGUACAGUUAAGGCCCACUGAGUGUGUAGAAUCAGAUCUCAACAGGUAUAUGGGUUAUUUGUUAUUAAUUUAUUAUUAGGAUGAUAAACAAAUGGAUGAUAAACAAGGGAAUAAGCAAAUAGUUUGGAUGAUGAACAGAUUCUAUUCAAAAUAUUUGCAAUAAAAACAAAGCAGCAUUUGCAAGUCCAAUCUCUUGUUAGCGAGUCCAAGUGAAUAUAUUAACCUUAAAAUAUACAUAGGCCAACAAUACCUGGGAUGUGGGCAGACACAAAUUCAUAGCUGGGAUUAGCAUAAUCCCUAUAUUUAUGUUCAAUAUAUGUGUGUAUAUAUAUAUUAUAAAGUGGAAAAGCACUAAGAAAAUAGGGUUUGAUUGGAGAGCAGAGGUGAAUCAUCUUCGUAAUUUGAAUUUGUAACUCAUGCACAGAAUGGAAACAGAACUAUAUACAAUAGCACUUUAUUGACUCAUUAAUAUUUAUUUAUAUACACAGUAAUAUACCAUCCAUCAACAAAUUGGACUCUUUAAUAAAUAGCAUUAACGUUGCUUGUUUUUUGCAUAAUCAGUUAAUUAAUGCUUCUGCAUUUGACAUUCUCAUUUACUUUAUGUUGCAUAAUGAUUUAUCUUGUUCUGUGCUGCAGUGUUUACUCCUAAGGAGUAGAAAGUUAAACAGUAAACUUUGUUAAACAGUAUUUUGUUGCCCAGUAGCUCGAGUAAUCAAAGUAAAAUCUAUUAACACAUUAAUUAGUAUCUUAAUAUUCAAUAAAAUACCCUUUUCUUUUCUUUUGGAGGCAUAAACAUCAUUGCAGAAGUUAUUAUUGUAAAAGUUCCAGACAGGUAAUUCUCAAAGUAUGUGCACGUGAAUCCUGUAAGCAGGACAUAAGGAGUACUGAAUAACAGCAGAAGUAUGUGGUCUGUAGGCAAAUAUGGACAAUAAAAUGGGGUGUUGACAACCUGAUUAGACUUUUUUUUUCCUUAAGCAUUGUUCUAGUUUUAAAGCAACUUUUAAAUUAAAUUGAAAUUUAAUUUAAAUCUCCCAUAUUUUUUUCUGUAAGGAUAAAAGCAAAUAUUGUCAGUUUCUUUACAAAAAACAAAGGUCAUGAACUCUGAUAAACCAGUAUACAAAUAAAUAAAUGGUUUUUAUAGCAUCCUCUCCCAUUAGAUUGCAGCUCCAUUCCAGGAGCAUGCUGGCCUUUUGAAUAUCCAUAAUGAAAAUGUAGUGCCAAAGGCAGGUGACAAAGCACUAACAAAUUGGAACAAAAGAAAAAAAGGAAAAGCAGUAUCAGGCAUGCUACCUGCUGGCAAGAGCAGUAUUAUUGACCCCGUAAGAAAGCAUGAGUUUCCAUUUACAGUGUAUGCAAGAUGGGGCUCAGAGUUAGUGAGGUUUGUAAGUGAAAUACAUCUUAAAAAAAAAAAAAAAAAGCAAAAAGUGAAAUAAUAUUCACUUGCUAUUUUUUUCUAUUUAUUUGUGGGAACAUUUGAGUAAUUAAACAAAUUUUUGUCCUAGAAGCAAAGCAACCAAAUAAACUGAUCCAAAUUAUUGGACUUCUGGUUUCCUGCACACCUAAAAAUAAAUAAAGAAAUAAACACUGAGAACUUUUUGUAUAUAGGAAUUAAGUUAGCACUGAUGGAGAGUUCUUUUUAGUUCUGUCAGUGCCUGCAAGUAUUCUCUGUAGGUAGUACAGAUACACCUGGCAAAAGCAAAGAAUGUCCAUCCCCUCCCACAUGGCACCUCCUGAUCACUGUGUAGCUAUACAGUUUUCUCUUUCCUCUUAUGCCUAUGUGUCUCCAAUGGCUCCAGCAGAACUCCAGGUAGCUGCCCAUUGCACACCGAAGAGGAGAUGCACUCUUCUUGCAUCAGCAGCAGUCAGGAAAGCCAUCAAAAUAAUAGUUGUACAAAGCAGCUGUUGUACAAAAAGUAGUUAUAGGAAGUUGUACAACAGCUGUGCAAAAAUGAUCUAAAAUAUACUUUUUCAGCGACAGUUGCCCAUAGAAAAAUUUGAUGAGCAAUUCUACAAGUUUUCACCUUUGAGAUUUCAUUUCACAAACACUUUUCAUCAUGAGGAAUAAAAAGUUGGCAGGGCCAUUGAUUUCAUCUAAAAUGUUUGAUUUAAAAUGCUUUCCGUCAAAUAAAUGUGUUUCAUGAUGUUCAACUGCCUGGUUUCUUUUUACAUGUUGUCGAUGUCAAUGCCAAAAACUACCUAAGAUUUACCAUGUUGGUGCCGUGCUAUAUAUUGCUCCAUGGCAUAACAGUUGUCAACUCCAAGGUCACAGCUUUAUUAAAGGAUCAAGAUUUACAAUAAUGUUAGCUCCAGCAUGAAUGCCUUCACACACAUCUUCCCAUACUUUACUUCUCUGAGGUCACCAGCCCAAUCUCUCCCCCUGCCAAAGCUACUAAUCCAUAAAUACUGCAGUCUCCUGAACUAAGUUCAAAUGGACCUAUCAUCUUCUUUGAGUAAUAAAUCUUUACUUUUGUUUAACACCUGCCUUCAGAGAAUGCAACCCUCUUUACCUGCAGUAAUUAAUUUACCUUCACCACGUCCUUAUGUGGUGCUUAAAAACUGCUCCCCUUUUACAGACUAAGGAACCGAGGCAUGAUGACAUGCUUGACUGCAGUGCCACAGGAAGACUGAAAAGACUUGGAAGCCUGUGUCUGCAUUUAAGUCUUGAAUGCUGAAGCUGAAAGCUGUGCUAUAUCCCUCCCAGUCCUGUAGUGUCUAAACUGAGGCCUCUGUAGCUCUUCUUGUAAUGUAGUUUCAUGGCAUUGAUAAGGCAAACCUGAAGUUGGCUAUAUGGGAGUGUAUAGUCCUAAUCGAUGCACACAGAUAUAAAGAAGUAUUCUGCAGACUCUUUAUCACUCAAGGUGUGGUUGGGUAUCUUCUGGUUGUGCUUGCACUGUUGAAGGGAUUACUGCUACCAACUUACAUACCCCAACAGGGGGUACUGCUACCCCUCAUGCCUUCUCAGAUCUACAGGCCUGGCUUCCUACUUCAUUUCAGACAAGGCCAGUUAAUUACUUCAAGCAGCAGUUCUUUGCCAGAUGAUGAACAGCUCAGCUAACUCAUAGCAACCUCCAACAGAGCAGUAAUGAGUACAGGAGAGCAGUUAGCUCAGGUGCCAGCAGAGCCCCAGGUACAAAAAUACACCUUACCUCAGUGACUCAGCUUCCCAGCUCUGUCCUCUCCCGUGAGUCCUAUGCACAAGAAGUUUUGCAGUUGGCACUGGACUUUCUCCUGAGCUGAAGCGUGCAGUAAAUAUCCCAGCCCAGAUGACUUUACUCUUAAAUUGCUUAUAUGAAUGGGUGAACUUCACGACUACUAGAACACAAAGGCCUUCAAAUCUUGCCUUGGUAUGAUCUAAAAAUGAAGUAUUUGGGACAGUCUUUAGCUUUAUUUGGGUCUUAGCUUUUGCUUGGAAGGACAGCAGCAUUUUUAGCCAGUCAUAACUGAGAUCCUGAAUAAGAAAGCAGAGCCACCAUCCUUCACAGUAUCACAGAAGAGUUCAUCUUCCAUCCUCAUCUAAAGUGAGACCUGAGCUUUAGCUUCAUUUCGUCUUCUCUCUUUUCCCUCCAAAGCGUGGGACCAGAUAGUGGGGGCAUUGCCUUGCUGCUGAUCCCUGGCAGAUACAAGCAGCAGCCCUGAGGGAUGGCUAAAGCCUAAAUAGUUUUGAAAUCCUGGAUGCUGAAGGCCUAAUUGAACCACAAGGCUUAAUGUUUUGUAUUUUCUCUUCCCUGAAAAUAUAAUUUCAGGCUACAGAGAGAGUUUCCUACCUAGCGAUCUCCUCUAGACAUCUGCUUGUGGUAUAGACAGUUGCAGUCCCAAGGAGAAAAGAAACAUGGAAGCGAAGGAACGAUUUAUCUUCAGCCCAUGGCGCAUAUUUUUAAUACAGGAUGAGAGACCAGGACCGACCUGAAUCUUAGUUUUAUUAUGAACCAAUAUAAUUUCCACAAAUGAAUAUAUUUUGAAACAAACACAGUCUCUAUGAAUUGGUUUCUUUUAAAAGUAUUGCCAGCAUUUUGUUUGUUGUUCAUCUGCCAAGAGUUACAUUUGAGGUGGUCAGUGCUAGAUGGGCUAAACAAGCCCAAAUUCUUCUCUACCUGGAGAGAUUUGUUGGCAUAACUACAUCACUGUAGUGGUCUCCUUACAAUUCCUUAUUCUGGAAGAAAAGUGCACAGCCAUGCUGCUGGAUUACUGUUAAACUUUUUUGUCAGUAUGAUUCAGUAGGCAGAAAUUUUUAACAAAAUAUUACUAAUAGCACUAAAACUACACACAUAAAUGCUGCUGACCACAGUGAGAGGUCAGAUGCAUUCCUGAGCUGCCUGUGCAAGGCGUCCCAUAAGCCAUCCUCUGAACCCCCCUCUGCAGCUGAUAUUGCUGGCACAGCCACCUCCGUACUAUGCAGUAUGUUCACCAGUGAUGUCCUACAGCAGAAUGACAUGCACACACAUAUGUUUUGUUUUGUGUAGGUUUACACUUCCAUUAGGCAGAGGUGCCACAGAGAGUCAGCCUUCUCAGUAUGCUAUGCUGCAGCAGCUGCCUAAUGUACACCACAGAAUAAUCUGAGCUGGAAAGGACCCUAAAGGUCACCUGGUCCAACUCCCCUGCAAUGGACAGGUACACCUACAGCUACAGCAGGUUGUUCAGUGCUCUGUCCAGCCUGACUUUGAAUGUCUCCAGGGACGGGGCAUCCACCCGUCUGGGCAACCUGUACCAGCGUUUCACUGUUCUAACUGUAAAACACCUUUUCCUUAUAGCCAGUCUAAAUCUCCUGUUUUAGUUUGAACCCAUUUCCCCUUGUCUUAUCACAACAGACCUUGCUAACAAGUCUGUUUCCUUCCUUCUUAUAGUCCCCCUUUAGAAGGCUGCUAUGAGGUCUCCCUGGAGUCUCCAGUUCUCCAGGUUGAACAGCCCCAGUUCCCUCAGCCUGCCCUCAUAGGAGAGGUGUUCCACCCCCUGGAUCAUGUGUGCGGCCCUCCUCCUCCAGCAGGUUUAUAUUUCUCCUGUACUGUACACCCAACUUAAGUUUCCCAGAAUGAAGUCCUAAAUUUAUUAGUUCUAGAAAGGGUAGCAGAAAAUGUUCAUUUAGUUAAUAAUCAAAACUCCUGAACAUUAUAACAGCUUAUAUAACAUGCCUUUAAUGCUUUGUGAAUACCUCCAUGUUUGAACCACUACUUUAUCAUCAAGAAGAGUGCAGAAAUGCCUUCACCAUUUAUGCAGAAGGUGCCUGCAAACACUUUCCUCUGAUUUCAUACUGUCAGCAAGCGUCAGUCUGUCCCUCUGCUACUACUACCUGAAAGAAAGGUGCCAAUGGCUCAGCUGGGUUGGCCAUAGAUUUGUUACCUCUCUGAGUGUCUGUACUAGACCCACUUGCUAACCUGUAGCACUUCCCCUAGCCACUUUGGGGACCAGCAUUUCGUAGCUGUUUCCACAUCCGCAUUUGCAGCAUACUCAACAUGGGCACGAUAGGGGGACAGGGACAUACAGUAGGGCAGGAUUGCCAGCAGCACUUGCAAGGCCCCAAGCGGGCAUCUGAACGUCAAGAACUUUCCCAGAUACGGAUUCUCUUAACUCUAGAAACUUUUGGGGGCCGAGAAGCUCUAAGAGCAGAGCGGGACAAGGCGCGGGUGCAGCGCGCUGCCACAGGAACAGGCCCAUAUCCGAGCUCGCCCACCCGCCGCCACAGAGGUCGCG
ensembl:lncRNA